rnacentral:rRNA from 1 species
GUCCAGACUCCUACGGGAGGCAGCAGUGAGGAAUAUUGGUCAAUGGGCGCGAGCCUGAACCAGCCAAGUCGCGUGAGGGAUGACGGCCCUACGGGUUGUAAACCUCUUUUGUCGGGGAGCAAAUUCCGUUACGUGUAACGGAGUCGAGAGUACCCGAAGAAAAAGCAUCGGCUAACUCCGUGCCAGCAGCCGCGGUAAUACGGAGGAUGCGAGCGUUAUCCGGAUUUAUUGGGUUUAAAGGGUGCGCAGGCGGAUUUUUAAGUCAGCGGUCAAAUCGUGGGGCUCAACCCCAUCCAGCCGUUGAAACUGGGGAUCUAGAGUGUGCGAGAGGUAUGCGGAAUGCGUGGUGUAGCGGUGAAAUGCAUAGAUAUCACGCAGAACUCCGAUUGCGAAGGCAGCAUGCCGGCUCCACACUGACGCUGAGGCACGAAAGCGUGGGUAUCGAACAGGAUUAGAUACCCCAGUA